AUACUUACCUGGCAGGGGAAACACCAGGAUCAGGCAGCUGGUUUUCCCAAGGCACUCUGGGUGUCCUGAUACCUGGGAUUUCCCAAAAUGUGGGAAAUUUGACUGCAUAAUUUGUAGUAACAGAGGACUGCUCUAGCAGGGGCCUUGG
rnacentral:snRNA from 1 species